rnacentral:rRNA from 1 species
UGGCGGAGGGGAUCCACUCGUUCCCAUCCCGAACACGACCGUUAAGCCCUCCAGCGCCGAUGGUACUUGGGGUGCAGACCCCUGGGAGAGUAGGAUGUUGCCAGGC